UGGCGGCGUGCUUAACACAUGCAAGUGGAGCGACGAACCGGGGCUUGCCCCGGGGCAGAGCCGCGAACGGGUGAGUAACACGUGGUAACCUGCCUCAAUGAUUGGACAACCCGGGGAAACUCGGGCUAAUACCAAAUGUGUUCACUCCUUCUAAGGGGAGUGAGGAAAGGAAGCUUCGGCCUCCGCAUUGAGAUGGGCCCGCGGCCCAUUAGCUUGUUGGUGAGGUAACGGCUCACCAAGGCUUCGAUGGGUAGCUGGUCUGAGAGGACGACCAGCCACACUGGGACUGAGACACGGCCCAGACUCCUACGGGAGGCAGCAGUGGGGAAUCUUGCACAAUGCGCGAAAGCGUGAUGCAGCAACGCCGCGUGGGGGAAGACGGCCUUCGGGUUGUAAACCCCUUUCAGUUGGGACGAAGCUUCGUCGGUGAAUAGCCGGUUGGAGUGACGGUACCUUCAGAAGAAGCCCCGGCUAACUACGUG
rnacentral:rRNA from 1 species